AACUAUGCCUGAGCGGGGUA
rnacentral:sRNA from 1 species